rnacentral:tRNA from 1 species
GGGAGUGAAUGAGUGCUGGUGUGCUCCGCGGUCUUCAAAACCGUUGUGGCGUCCUCGGGCGUUGGGUGGGUUCGAUUCCUACACAUUCCCGCCA